rnacentral:rRNA from 1 species
GUAAGUAAUUUAGAGCGUACGGUGGAUGCCUUGGCACCAGGAGCCGAUGAAGGACGUAGGAGGCUGCGAUAAGCCUCGGGGAGCUGUCAACCGAGCUGUGAUCCGAGGGUGUCCGAAUGGGGAAACCCAGCACGAGUGAUGUCGUGUUACCUGCACCUGAAUAUAUAGGGUGUGUGGAGGGAACGUGGGGAAGUGAAACAUCUCAGUACCCACAGGAAGAGAAAACAAUUGUGAUUCCGUGAGUAGUGGCGAGCGAAAGCGGAGGAGGCCAAACUUUGUGCGUGUGAUACCCGGCAGGGGUUGCGUAUGGAGGGUUGUGGGGUUUGCAUGUGAUGGUUCUGCCGGACUGUCCGACAGUGAUAAAUCAUGGUGUUAGUCGAAGUGGUCUGGAACGGCCUGUCGUAGAGGGUGAGAGUCCCGUAGACGAAAACACCCGUGACUGUCGAGUGUGGAUGCCCAAGUAGCAGCGGGCCCGUGAAAUCUGCUGUGAAUCUGUCGGGACCACCCGAUAAGCCUGAAUACUCCCUGGUGACCGAUAGCGGACUAGUACCGUGAGGGAAAGGUGAAAAGUACCCCGGGAGGGGAGUGAAAUAGUACCUGAAACCGUGCGCUUACAAUCCGUCAGAGCCUGCGAGUCACUUGUGACUGUGGGUGAUGGCGUGCCUUUUGAAGAAUGAGCCUGCGAGUUAGUGGCAUGUCGCGAGGUUAACCCGUGUGGGGUAGCCGUAGCGAAAGCGAGUCCGAAUAGGGCGUAUCACCUUCGGGUGUGUAGUGGCGUGUUCUAGACCCGAAGCGGAGUGAUCUACCCAUGGCCAGGUUGAAGCGACGGUAAGACGUCGUGGAGGACCGAACCCACUUAGGUUGAAAACUGAGGGGAUGAGUUGUGGGUAGGGGUGAAAGGCCAAUCAAACUCCGUGAUAGCUGGUUCUCCCCGAAAUGCAUUUAGGUGCAGCGUCACGUGUUUCUCGUCGGAGGUAGAGCUACUGGAUGGUCUAGGGGGCUUACCGGCUUACCGAAAUCAGCCAAACUCCGAAUGCCGAUGAGUGAGAGCGUGGCAGUGAGACUGCGGGCGAUAAGGUUCGUAGUCGAGAGGGAAACAGCCCAGAUCGCCAGCUAAGGUCCCUAAGCGUGUACUAAGUGGAAAAGGAUGUGGGGUCGCGAAGACAACCAGGAGGUUGGCUUAGAAGCAGCCACCCUUGAAAGAGUGCGUAAUAGCUCACUGGUCAAGUGAUCCUGCGCCGACAAUGUAGCGGGGCUCAAGUACACCACCGAAGCUGCGGCACUCACACAAUAGCCCGCUGGAUUUCUACGGAAGUUCAGCCAGGUGUGUGGGUGGGUAGGGGAGCGUCGUGCAGCCGUGGAAGCGCCGGGGUGACCUAGGUGUGGAGGCUGUGCGAGUGAGAAUGCAGGCAUGAGUAGCGAAAGACGAGUGAGAAACUCGUCCGCCGAAUGACCAAGGGUUCCUGGGCCAGGUUAAUCCGCCCAGGGUGAGUCGGGACCUAAGACGAGGCCGACAGGCGUAGCCGAUGGACAACGGGUUGAUAUUCCCGUACCCGUGUGAACGCGCCCCUGGUGAAUCAGUGAUACUAACCGCCCUGAAUCCAUGGGAUUCACUGCUUUCGAGUAGUGGACGUUGGGUGGAUGCGUGGGACCUGAUCUGGUAGUAGCCAAGCGAUGGGGUGACGCAGGAAGGUAGCUGAGCCAGUCAGUGGUAAUACUGGUGUAAGCCUGUAGGGCGAACGGUAGGCAAAUCCGCCGUUCAUCGAGCCUGAGAGGUGAUGCGUAGCCGAUUGAGGCGAAUUCAGUGAUCCUAUGCUGCCGAGAAAAGCCUCUAGCGAGCUUUCACACGGCCCGUACCCCAAACCGACACAGGUGGUCAGGUAGAGAAUACUGAGGCGAUCGAGAUAACUAUGGUUAAGGAACUCGGCAAAAUGCCCCCGUAACUUCGGGAGAAGGGGGACCACGCCUGGUGAUCGGACUUGCUCCGUGAGCUGGGUGGGGUCGCAGAGACCAGUGAGAAGCGACUGUUUACUAAAAACACAGGUCCGUGCGAAGUCGUAAGACGAUGUAUACGGACUGACGCCUGCCCGGUGCUGGAAGGUUAAGAGGACCGGUUAACUGCCCUUGUGGUGGUGAAGCUGAGAAUUUAAGCCCCAGUAAACGGCGGUGGUAACUAUAACCAUCCUAAGGUAGCGAAAUUCCUUGUCGGGUAAGUUCCGACCUGCACGAAUGGCGUAACGACUUCUCAGCUGUCUCAACCAUAGACUCGGCGAAAUUGCAUUACGAGUAAAGAUGCUCGUUACGCGCGGCAGGACGAAAAGACCCCGGGACCUUCACUAUAGCUUGGUAUUGGUGUUCGGUUCGGUUUGUGUAGGAUAGGUGGGAGACUGUGAAGCGGUGACGCCAGUUACUGUGGAGUCGUUGUUGAAAUACCACUCUGAUCGUAUUGGAUACCUCAACCUCGGACCAUGAUCUGGUUCAGGGACAGUGCCUGGUGGGUAGUUUAACUGGGGCGGUUGCCUCCCAAAAUGUAACGGAGGCGCCCAAAGGUUCCCUCAGCCUGGUUGGCAAUCAGGUGUCGAGUGCAAGUGCACAAGGGAGCUUGACUGUGAGACUGACAGGUCGAGCAGGGACGAAAGUCGGGACUAGUGAUCCGGCACCGGCAUGUGGAAGCGGUGUCGCUCAACGGAUAAAAGGUACCCCGGGGAUAACAGGCUGAUCUUCCCCAAGAGUCCAUAUCGACGGGAUGGUUUGGCACCUCGAUGUCGGCUCGUCGCAUCCUGGGGCUGGAGUAGGUCCCAAGGGUUGGGCUGUUCGCCCAUUAAAGCGGCACGCGAGCUGGGUUUAGAACGUCGUGAGACAGUUCGGUCUCUAUCCGCCGCGCGCGUCAGAAACUUGAGGAAGGCUGUCCCUAGUACGAGAGGACCGGGACGGACGAACCUCUGGUGUGCCAGUUGUUCCACCAGGAGCACCGCUGGUUAGCUACGUUCGGAAGGGAUAACCGCUGAAAGCAUCUAAGCGGGAAGCCUGUUCCAAGAUGAGGUUUCUCACCCCCUUUGGGGGGGUAAGGCCCCCGGCAGACCACCGGGUUGAUAGGCCAGAACUGGAAGUCGGGUAACCGAUGCAGGUGACUGGUACUAAUAGGCCGAGGACUUACCACA